UACGUAGGGUGCAAGCGUUAUCCGGAAUUACUGGGCGUAAAGCGUGUGUAGGCGGUCCACUAAGUCGGGUGUGAAAGCCCUGGGCUCAACCCAGGAAGUGCACUCGAAACUGGCGGGCUAGAGUAUCGGAGAGGUUGGUGGAAUUCCCGGUGUAGAGGUGAAAUUCGUAGAUAUCGAGAGGAACACCGGUGGCGAAGGCGGCCAACUGGACGAAUACUGACGCUGAGACACGAAAGCGUGGGGAGCAAACAGG
rnacentral:rRNA from 1 species